rnacentral:rRNA from 1 species
CGGCGUGCCUAAUACAUGCAAGUCGAGCGAGCGGAACUAACAGAUUUACUUCGGUAAUGACGUUAGGAAAGCGAGCGGCGGAUGGGUGAGUAACACGUGGGGAACCUGCCCCAUAGUCUGGGAUACCACUUGGAAACAGGUGCUAAUACCGGAUAAGAAAGCAGAUCGCAUGAUCAGCUUUUAAAAGGCGGCGUAAGCUGUCGCUAUGGGAUGGCCCCGCGGUGCAUUAGCUAGUUGGUAAGGUAAAGGCUUACCAAGGCGAUGAUGCAUAGCCGAGUUGAGAGACUGAUCGGCCACAUUGGGACUGAGACACGGCCCAAACUCCUACGGGAGGCAGCAGUAGGGAAUCUUCCACAAUGGACGCAAGUCUGAUGGAGCAACGCCGCGUGAGUGAAGAAGGUUUUCGGAUCGUAAAGCUCUGUUGUUGGUGAAGAAGGAUAGAGGUAGUAACUGGCCUUUAUUUGACGGUAAUCAACCAGAAAGUCACGGCUAACUACGUGCCAGCAGCCGCGGUAAUACGUAGGUGGCAAGCGUUGUCCGGAUUUAUUGGGCGUAAAGCGAGCGCAGGCGGAAGAAUAAGUCUGAUGUGAAAGCCCUCGGCUUAACCGAGGAACUGCAUCGGAAACUGUUUUUCUUGAGUGCAGAAGAGGAGAGUGGAACUCCAUGUGUAGCGGUGGAAUGCGUAGAUAUAUGGAAGAACACCAGUGGCGAAGGCGGCUCUCUGGUCUGCAACUGACGCUGAGGCUCGAAAGCAUGGGUAGCGAACAGGAUUAGAUACCCUGGUAGUCCAUGCCGUAAACGAUGAGUGCUAAGUGUUGGGAGGUUUCCGCCUCUCAGUGCUGCAGCUAACGCAUUAAGCACUCCGCCUGGGGAGUACGACCGCAAGGUUGAAACUCAAAGGAAUUGACGGGGGCCCGCACAAGCGGUGGAGCAUGUGGUUUAAUUCGAAGCAACGCGAAGAACCUUACCAGGUCUUGACAUCUAGUGUCAUUUGUAGAGAUACAAAGUUCCCUUCGGGGACGCUAAGACAGGUGGUGCAUGGCUGUCGUCAGCUCGUGUCGUGAGAUGUUGGGUUAAGUCCCGCAACGAGCGCAACCCUUGUUAUUAGUUGCCAGCAUUAAGUUGGGCACUCUAAUGAGACUGCCGGUGACAAACCGGAGGAAGGUGGGGAUGACGUCAAGUCAUCAUGCCCCUUAUGACCUGGGCUACACACGUGCUACAAUGGGCAGUACAACGAGAAGCGAGCCUGCGAAGGCAAGCGAAUCUCUGAAAGCUGUUCUCAGUUCGGACUGCAGUCUGCAACUCGACUGCACGAAGCUGGAAUCGCUAGUAAUCGCGGAUCAGCACGCCGCGGUGAAUACGUUCCCGGGCCUUGUACACACCGCCCGUCACACCAUGGGAGUCUGCAAUGCCCAAAGCCGGUGGCCUAACCUUCGGGAAGGAGCCGUCUAAGGCAGGGCAGAUGACUGGGGUGAAGUAGUA